AGCGAACGCUGGCGGCGUGCUUAACACAUGCAAGUCGAGCGAAGGUGUUUCAAGGGUAACCUUGAGAUACACUUAGCGGCGGACGGGUGAGUAAUACGUGGAUAACUUACCUCUAGGCCUGGGAUAACCCCGGGAAACUGGGGCUAAUACCUGAUAAGACCACAUUGUCUACGGACAAAGGGGUAAAAGGUGGCUGUGCAAACAGCUAUCGCCAAAAGAUAGGUUCACGUCCCAUCAGGCAGUGGUGAGGUAAUGGCUCACCAAACCAAAGACGGGUAGCCGGCCUUGGCGGGUGAACGGCCACACGGGGACUGAGACACGGCCCCGACUCCUACGGGAGGCAGCAGUGGGGAAUAUUGGGCAAUGGGCGCAAGCCUGACCCAGCGACGUCGCG
rnacentral:rRNA from 1 species